GCCUACCCCUGCCAGCCUGGCAACAGAAUCUUUCCUGAGGUCCUGAGUUCCGGGUUUUCUCCCUUAGGAACCCCGUUUUGUCUCCUUGUGGAAGAUGGACUCCAGUGAGCAUAAGGCACCAAGGGCUUCAGGGUAGAAGAUCCUCUUCAAUGCUGACAAUCCCCAGGCGAGUGCCCUCCCCUGCUUAAAUUAGGCACAAUUUAGUUUUGUGAAUCACUGCAUCAUUUGUUUUCCACGGAGAAAAUGUCCUGAAGUGGGGAGGGUGGCUCUCUCCUCGCUGUUCCUGCACAAAGCUUCCCUCCCAUGGCAUAUUUCAUGAUGGUCCCUCUUCGUUCGUCACUGGUGACGUCAUCCUCGCUCCCCUCACGUCAGCUGCUCAAUGACCCUCUUGCACAGUCGCAUGCCCCUGCUGGGGUGGUGGCACCCCACCUUCCUCCCGCCAGAAGCAAGAAUUGCUCUUCCGAGGAGCAGAGCGUCAGCCCUCACAUCUGCCGAUUCCUCUGCCAGCCACUCUCCAGAAGCCCCCCGGGCGACAGCACAGCCAGCGGGCGGUACCUUCCAUCUGUACCACGCUGCCAUCCGCCUGGCUGUGCAUCAGCCAGGGUACUGUCACUCGCUUGGGCUUCAGAUCUCUAAAGGGCA
rnacentral:lncRNA from 1 species